rnacentral:rRNA from 1 species
GACGAACGCUGGCGGCGUGCCUAAUACAUGCAAGUAGAACGCUGAAGAGAGGAGCUUACUCUUCUUGGAUGAGUUGCGAACGGGUGAGUAACGCGUAGGUAACCUGCCUUGUAGCGGGGGAUAACUAUUGGAAACGAUAGCUAAUACCGCAUAACAAUGGAUGACACAUGUCAUUUAUUUGAAAGGGGCAAUUGCUCCACUACAAGAUGGACCUGCGUUGUAUUAGCUAGUAGGUGAGGUAAUGGCUCACCUAGGCGACGAUACAUAGCCGACCUGAGAGGGUGAUCGGCCACACUGGGACUGAGACACGGCCCAGACUCCUACGGGAGGCAGCAGUAGGGAAUCUUCGGCAAUGGGGGCAACCCUGACCGAGCAACGCCGCGUGAGUGAAGAAGGGUUUCGGAUCGUAAAGCUCUGUUGUAAGUCAAGAACGGGUGUGAGAGUGGAAAGUUAACACUGUGACGGUAGCUUACCAGAAAGGGACGGCUAACUACGUG